CCCUUAGAUGUCCUGGGCCGCACGCGCGCUACACUGAUGCAUUCAACGAGUAUUUCCUUGGCCGAGAGGCCUGGGCAAUCUUUUAAACCUGCAUCGUGAUAGGGACAGAUUAUUGCAAUUAUUAAUCUUGAACGAGGAAUUCCUAGUAAACGCAAAUCAUCAAUUUGCAUUGAUUACGUCCCUGCCCUUUGUACACACCGCCCGUCGCACCUACCGAUUGAAUGGUCCGGUGAAAUCUCGGGAUUGUGGCCAGUUCACUUUAUUGGGAGUUGGCUGCGAGAACUUGCUUAAACCUUAUCAUUUAGAGGAAGGUGAAGUCGUAACA
rnacentral:rRNA from 1 species